UGCAUCACGUGUGACCUCCCCA
rnacentral:miRNA from 13 species